rnacentral:rRNA from 1 species
CACGGGGGGAGCAAGCGUUGUUCGGAAUCACUGGGCGUAAAGGGCGUGUAGGCGGUUCGGUAAGUGAGAUGUGAAAUCCUCCGGCUCACCCGGAGACCUGCAUCUCAAACUGCCGGACUAGAGUAUGGGAGAGGACAAGGGAAUUCCUGGUGUAGCGGUGAAAUGCGUAGAUAUCAGGAGGAACACCGGUGGCGAAGGCGGGUCUCUGGGCAGUAACUGACGCUGAGGAGCGAAAGCGUGGGGAGCGAACAGG